rnacentral:rRNA from 1 species
GAAACCUUAAAAGUAAAAACAAAGUGAAUUGAAACAUCUUAGUAACUUUGCCCAAAAAUCAACCGAGACCCCGAGAUUAGCGGUGAGUGAAAUCGGGAAAAGGCCAGCUCAAACAACUUGGAAUUUAAAGGAUCGAAAAAGAGUGGAAUCUCUUGCCAAAGAAGGUGCAAGCCCUGUCAUAUCCGUCAAAUAAAUUUUUUGAUUGACUCAAAAGGUGUAUUUGAUCAAAUAGUUGUUUUUCGUUAAAAUUCGAGUUCUUAAAAAGAGAAAUCACAUAACAUGAAUGGCUGGAACGCAAGACGCAAGUAGGUAUCCCCUCAAAUAGUCGCUCAAAGCUGCUCCAGGUUCUUCGUUUGUUAUGCAUAGGGGAACCACCCUCUAAGCCUUUGAACGUUUUCUGAUCGAUAGUGUACAAGUACUGUGAAGGAAAGGCAUGAAAAGAACCCAUUAUUGGGAAGUGAAAUAGACUCAACAAAUCCGAUAUAAACAAUCAGUCGUGCAAAAAUAAGUUUUUAGCGGCGUACCUUUUGCAUAAUGGGUCAGCGAGUAAAACAAAAAAGCUUUGAGGCUUAAACCCAUAGGUGGAGGCUUAAUGAAAAUGCAGCUUUUUUUUGAAGGUUUUUUUGUUUUGACCCGAAACCGAGUGAUCUAGCCAUGAGCAAGUUGAAGAUGUGGUAAUACAUAUUGGAGGACUGAACCGGUGUCUGUGGCAAAAGACUCGGAUGACUUGUGGCUAGGGGUGAAAAGCCAAUCGAACUCGGAAAUAGCUGGUUUUCUGCGAAAUUUAUUGAGGUAAAGCGUUUGAUCAUGCCCAAGGCCGGUAGAGCACUCAUUAGAAAAUGCGUUUUUUAAGGAAACUCCGAAUGGUCUUGGUUUGAAAUCAAGCAGACAGACUUAGAAUGCUAAGGUCCUAAGUCUAAAGGGAAACAGCCCAGAUGAUAUGUUAAGGUCUCUAAGCAAUCACUUCGUGGGAAAGGAUGUGUUGUUACAAAGACAACCAGGAGAUGGGCUUGGAGGCAGCCAUUCUUUGAAGAAAGCGUAAUAGCUCACUGGUCCAGUAACAAUCGCGCCUAAAAUGUACGAGUCUUAAGUGAUUCACCGAAACAAUCAUUAUAUUCCUAAAAGGUUUUUGACUUUUUUUUGAAUAUAAGGUAGCAGAACGUUCUGUCAGUCAAUGAACGUAAUCUGAAAAGAUUUACUGGAGAUAUCAGAAGUGAGAAUGCUGACAUUAGUAACGAAAAAUCAUGUGAUAUUCAUGAUCGCCGAAAGCCCAAGGGUUUCUGUGCUAUGUAAUUCAACGCAGAACAUAGACGGCCCCUAAAAUGAUCAAAGAUAUUUGAAGUUGAUGGGCACCGUUUGUCGAUUGACGAAUUGCUACAUUUUCAAUCUAAUUUAUGCUGUUCCUAAACGAAAUUUGCGAAGGCGAACGAUAGGGAGUACAUUGGAUAAAUGGUAUGAAUUAGGCAAUUCCUGGAAACAGCGACAAACAUGAAUAUUAGGUCAAGCUUCUCAAAAAGCCAGUCUUUUGGACUAUCUAAUAUUGAACUUACCGUACCCCAAACCAACACUGGUGGGCAGGUAGUAUUUUCUACUAAGGCGUAUGAGAUAACCAUGUUGAAGGAACUCGGCAAAAUGCCUCUGUAACUUCGGAAGAAAGAGGACCUACUAAAAAAAAAUGUUAGUAGGUGGCACGAAAAGGGAGCGGCGACUGUUUAUUAAAAACACAGGGCUCUGCAAAAUAAAUAUAUGAAGUAUAGGGCCUGACACCUGCCCGGUGCUAGAAAGAUACAGUUAUGGGUUCAAAGGUUUUCAAAAACUAAUGUACUUAUACUUAAUAACUAGUAAACGGCGGCUGUAACUCUAACAGUCCUAAGGUAGCGAAAUUCAUUGUCAUUUAAUUGGUGUCCCGCACGAAUGGUGUAACGAUCGCUCUACUGUCUCCAACAUGGACUCAGUGAAAUUGAAUUCUCCGUGCAGAUGCGGAGUACUAACAGCUAGACGGUAAGACCCUGUGCACCUUUACUAUAGCUUUGCAUUGGAAAGACCUAUAAACUGUAUAGAAUAGGUGGUAGGUCAGUCAAACAAAGUUUCAAUGACCGUCAGUGGAAUACCACCCUGUUCAUGGGGCUCUCCUUACUUUUAAUUGUUUGUCAAUUGAACUGGAAAGUGCAUGGUGGGUAGUUUAUUUGGGGCGAAUUUCUCCUAAAAAGUAACGGAGAAGCGCAAAGGUAAGCUCAAAUUGGUCGGAAAUCAAUUGUAGAGCGUAAUGGUAUAAGCUUGCCUGACUGCAAGACCUACAAGUCGAGCAGGGACCUGAAGUCGGCCAUAGUGACCCGGGGGUUCUGUGUGGAAGGGCUCUCGCUUAACGGAUCAAAGGUACGCCAGGGAUAACAGACUAAUUACUCCCAAGAGUUCAUAUCGACGGGGUAGUUUGGCACCUCGAUGUCAGCUUGUCACAUCCUCGGGGUGAAGAAGCUCCGAAGGGUCGGGCUGUUCGCCCGUAAAAGUGGUACGUGAGCCGGGUUUAGUACGUCGUGAGACAGUACGGUUCCUAUCUACUGUUAGUGUUCUAAAACUGAAGGAAUAAGUUCGCCGUACGAGAGGAACCGAACUUAUCAACCCCUGGUGGUUGAGUUGUCGCGCCCGCGGCAUAGCUCAGUAGCUACGUUGAUUGAUUUUAACCGCUGAAAGCAUCUAAGCGGGAAAUUCAUCCUAAAACAAGUUUUGUAGAACGUGAAAGAUUAUCACGGAAUAGGCGGCAUGUGAAAUUGUAGCAAUAUAGUAAGCAAUGCCGUACUAAGUU